rnacentral:rRNA from 1 species
AUUGAACGCUGGCGGCAGGCCUAACACAUGCACGUCGAGCGGAUCGGCGGACGGGUGAGUACUGCCUAUGCCUCUGCCUCUUAGUGGUGGAUAACGUCCGGAACCGGGCGCUAAUACCGCAUACUCUCCUCUUAGCCUAGGUCGUAUGAGCUAGGUGGUGGGGUAAGGGUCUACCAAGGCGACGAUCCUUAACUGGUCUGAGAGGAUGAUCAGUCACAAUGUAACUGAGACACGGUCCAGACUCCGACGGGAGGCAGCAGUGGGGAAUAUUGGACAAUGGGCGAAAGCCUGAUCCAGCCAUGCCGCGUGUGUGAAGAAGGUCUUCGGAUUGUAAAGCACUUUAAGUUGGGAGGCGUUACCAACAGAAUAAGCACCGGCUAACUUCGUGCCAGCAGCCGCGGUAAUAC